AGCGAACGCUGGCGGCAGGCCUAACACAUGCAAGUCGAACGAACUCUUCGGAGUUAGUGGCGGACGGGUGAGUAACACGUGGGAACGUGCCUUUUGGUUCGGAAUAACUCAGGGAAACUUGUGCUAAUACCGAAUGUGCCCUUCGGGGGAAAGAUUUAUCGCCAUUAGAGCGGCCCGCGUCUGAUUAGCUAGUUGGUGAGGUAACGGCUCACCAAGGCGACGAUCAGUAGCUGGUCUGAGAGGAUGACCAGCCACACUGGGACUGAGACACGGCCCAGACUCCUACGGGAGGCAGCAGUGGGGAAUCUUGCGCAGUGGGCGAAAGCCUGACGCAGCCAUGCCGCGUGAAUGAUGAAGGUCUUAGGAUUGUAAAAUUCUUUCACCGGGGACGAUAAUGACGGUACCCGGAGAAGAAGCCCCGGCUAACUUCGU
rnacentral:rRNA from 1 species